rnacentral:lncRNA from 1 species
UAGGAACUCUGGAGGCUCUUGAGAGAGGCCCUUUUGAAACAAUCUCUGGCUGGAAGACUCUUUGAGGAAGGACGCUGGCCUGGUGUCACUAAAAUCCUUGUUUAGUCAGACCUUGUGGUGUUGGGGAUCAACGAAGCCUCCUUGAAUAUGUGUCAUGAAUUCUGGGACCCAAUCUCCUAACCCAUGCUUAGACUGGAAGGCUGGAUCACUAGAGGAUGGCUGGAUAUUUCUCCCCACAGGAUUCUAAAGCAUUAAGAUGAUUUUGGAGAAAUCUGGAAAGACUUACAUGAACUAAUGGAAAGUGAAGUAAGCAGAAUCAGAAGAACUUUGUACACAUCUUAUUCCAGUGCCUUAAAGAAGUUUAAUAGCAAGGAAGACAGUAUGAUGUAUUGGAAAGUAUGCUGCAUCAUGACAGGCAACCUGAGUUCAAAUACCACUUUGGAUACUUAUCAGAUGAGGAAAAUGAGUCCCAUUGAAGUUGAACAACUUGUUCCAGGUCAUAAUGGAGUGCUCCCAGGAGGGAUGGUCAUGGAACCAAUCUGAUCAGAGGAUCUUUCCAUCUUAGAAAAAUGAAGCUAAUGGAUUGAACUCCCUUCCCAGCUUCCUGUGAAAAAGAAAACCAGAAUCGACAUUUGGCAAGUAAUUUGAUGUCUUGGGAAUAGUUUGGGGGCAUUU